rnacentral:tRNA from 1 species
GGCGGGGUAGCUCAGCAGGUUAGAGCAGCGGAAUCAUAAUCCGCGUGUCGGGGGUUCAAGUCCCUCUCCCGCUACCA